UAGCUUAGUCGGUAUAGCAUGAGACUCUUGAUCUUGAGGUCAUGAGUUCGAGCCCUAU
rnacentral:tRNA from 1 species